rnacentral:rRNA from 1 species
UCUCCUGGAAACGGGUGGUAAUACCGGAUGCUCCGCUCCAUCGCAUGGUGGGGUGGGAAAUGCUUUUGCGGCAUGGGAUGGGGUCGCGUCCUAUCAGCUUGUUGGCGGGGUGAUGGCCCACCAAGGCGUUGACGGGUAGCCGGCCUGAGAGGGUGACCGGCCACAUUGGGACUGAGAUACGGCCCAGACUCCUACGGGAGGCAGCAGUGGGGAAUAUUGCACAAUGGGCGCAAGCCUGAUGCAGCGACGCCGCGUGCGGGAUGGAGGCCUUCGGGUUGUAAACCGCUUUUGUUCAAGGGCAAGGCACGGUUUCGGCCGUGUUGAGUGGAUUGUUCGAAUAAGCACCGGCUAACUACGUGCCAGCAGCCGCGGUAAUACGUAGGGUGCGAGCGUUAUCCGGAUUUAUUGGGCGUAAAGGGCUCGUAGGCGGUUCGUCGCGUCCGGUGUGAAAGUCCAUCGCCUAACGGUGGAUCUGCGCCGGGUACGGGCGGGCUGGAGUGCGGUAGGGGAGACUGGAAUUCCCGGUGUAACGGUGGAAUGUGUAGAUAUCGGAAAGAACACCA